CAGUAGCCACGGUAGUACGAAGGGUGCAAGCGUUAAUUGGAAUUACUGGGCGUAAAGCGUGCGUAGGCGGUUUGUUAAGUCUGUUGUGAAAUCCCCGGGCUCAACCUGGGAAUGGCAAUGGAUACUGGCAAGCUAGAGUGUGUCAGAGGAUGGUGGAAUUCCCGGUGUAGCGGUGAAAUGCGUAGAGAUCGGGAGGAACAUCAGUGGCGAAGGCGGCCAUCUGGGACAACACUGACGCUGAGGCACGAAAGCGUGGGGAGCAAACAGGAUUAGAUACCCCCGUAGUCCCUGUCUCUUAUAC
rnacentral:rRNA from 1 species